GGUUUUAAUGAAGAAUUCUACACCAACAUUAGGCAGGACUUCCAGUACUAUGUUGAAUAGAAGUGGAGAGAGUGGGCAUCCUUGUCUUGUUCCUGAUCUUAGAGGACAAGCUUUCAGUUUUCUCACUAAGUACAUUGUUAGCGAUGGACUUUUCAUAUGUGGCUUUUGUUAUAUUGAGAAAUAGAAAAAAAAAUUCUAAAAUUCAUAUGGAACCGCAGAAGACCCAGAACAGACAAAGUGAUCCUGAGAAAGAAGAAUGAAGCUGGAGGCAUCACACUUCCUGAUUUCAUUAUGUAUUACAAAGCUACAGUAAUUAAAUCAGUAUGACACUGGCAUAAAGAUAGACAUAUAGACG